AUGAACGCUGGCGGCGUGCCUAAUACAUGCCAGUCGAGCGAACAGAUGAGGAGCUUGCUCCUCUGACGUUAGCGGCGGACGGGUGAGUAACACGUGGAUAACCUACCUAUAAGACUGGGAUAACUUCGGGAAACCGGAGCUAAUACCGGAUAAUAUAUUGAACCGCAUGGUUCAAUAGUGAAAGACGGUUUUGCUGUCACUUAUAGAUGGAUCCGCGCCGCAUUAGCUAGUUGGUAAGGUAACGGCUUACCAAGGCAACGAUGCGUAGCCGACCUGAGAGGGUGAUCGGCCACACUGGAACUGAGACACGGUCCAGACUCCUACGGGAGGCAGCAGUAGGGAAUCUUCCGCAAUGGGCGAAAGCCUGACGGAGCAACGCCGCGUGAGUGAUGAAGGUCUUCGGAUCGUAAAACUCCGUUAUUAGGGAAGAACAAAUGUGUAAGUAACUAUGCACGUCUUGACGGUACCUAAUCAGAAAGCCACGGCUAACUACGUG
rnacentral:rRNA from 1 species